rnacentral:lncRNA from 1 species
GUCCCCCACUGGUCUUCUGAGCAGACUUGACGCAGCUUCAUCUCAUUCCUGAGGUAUCCUGAGCCCCUCAGUGCCAUACUUCUGCGUGAGUGCUGUGAACUGGAGCAAAUGGGUUGAAAAUGGCCAGAAGUUGCUCUUGGUCUCUUUAGAUCUUUUAUGACAAAGAAAAAAAUUGAAUUUCUGAACAGUUAAAAUCCACUUGAGCCAGUUUAAGCUAAUUAUGCAGAACUGGAGCCUGAGGUCGGUAAAUCCAGGAAGAUGGCUGAAUACUAUGCUGACUCAAGUACAGACAAGGAGCCAGAUGAGAAAACCGAGGCUCCAAGAGCUUCUGUGACUUGUCCAAGACCAUGCAGUUAGUUCACAGUGAGGCAAAAAAUCAGUUGUAGAAGCACUUCAGGGAAUUCGGAUACUAUUUUGUGGCCAGGCAAGAUCAGCAGCCUUACUAUCUUAGUCCCUGCCAGUCAUCAGUUCUGGUUUCCCUGUUAUCCUGCUGCUCCCUAGAAUGCAGCUAUCAAGUGGCCUAAGAGCCAGCACCUUCAUGGAGUAGCAAAGAUGAAAGUCCAUUUGAGGACAGAGUGAGAAGACGAUGGUUAUCCACAAGCCAGAAAAAGAAGCCUCACCAGAAAUCCUGAUACCCUGAGUUUGGGUUUUCAGCUCCUACAACUGGCAGACAAUGAAUAUCUUCUUUACAGUCUAUGAUAUCUUGUUUGGUAGACCAAGGAGACUAAUCUAUUACUUAAUAUUGGGAACAUUACUUAGAAGCAAAUGAUCUUCGAAAAUGGUAAAGUUAUUUAUGUUUGCUAUUUUCAUUCUUCCUUUCCUCUGUUGAGCCAUUUAAAACAAUGAUACUGGCACUCAUUUCUCUUUAACCUUCAGUAUUUGAUUUCUAACACUAUGGCUAAGGUCUGACAAACACUGUCUUGAUAAUACACUACAGAGCAUUAGAGACAAUCCCAGAUUUCCAUCCAAAGAGAGUAUUCUAAGCUUGUGUCGUGGCAAUGGAGCACUCUGACCUGUGAAGCAUCAUUGUUUGAAGGCUUUAUUUGUGAUCCUCUUUAGAUCAGAGUUUGGAAGUGAGUUACAGACUAGAUCAUAUCUCCUCAUUCUCUCCAUUUGAUCUUUCUUCCCUCAUUAAUUCCAAAGUAUGCAAGCUAUAUGCUUUUUAGUGUUUUUCCCCCUUCACAGCCAUUGUCUAGGCACCAAAAACAGGGAUGGAAAGAGACAGGUUUAAUCCAAAGCACCAGUUUCCAUUACCUUAAGCUUCCUCAAUGAUUUUUCUGAUGAGAUGAAAUUUCUUAUACUUGGUCUCAGGCCCAAGGUAUAUGCAAUACGUCAAUGAAAUUGAUUGCGACACAUUGAAGUGAGUGCCCGGGAACUAUGAAUUCCUUAAGU